CCUGUACAGUCUAUGCUGCUACAGAUACGAGGUGAUGCGACCCCCCUGAGGGGACUGCUCUUAGACCUCACUCAUGUGGAUGACAGCUGGACUUCGGUGUGGCGGAGACAGUAAACAAUGAAGAGGAAGGGAACCAACACCAGCUUUUCCCAGCCUAAAAGAAGAGAGGAGGAAGAGCAUCCCAGAGAGGAGAUGGAGGAGGAAGAGUUCAGAGAGAGAGAAAGACAUGAAGGCAUGCAGAGCUCAGACAGCGAAAGCAACAGUGAUCCUCAGGGAGCAGAGCAGCCACCAGGAUGGCAGAGCAGCAGCCAAUGGCAGGGCAGGACAGUGAGGCCCCGAGGCUGAUGGGAGCUAAAGUCUGUCCUCUUUUACUAUGCUGCUUCUGCAGUUAGUAUAACUAACAUAUAAUGUCUUCCACAGAAGGCCUGCGACUAUGGAAGACAAAAUUUGAUUCAAACACGACGUGAUUUUGCUGAUGAGUCUGCUUGACCUGGUUGAACAUGUCUGACUCAAGUUGGGAUGAAACUCUCCUGACGCUUUGUCCUGCAUGACACAUGGUUACGUCUCUCUGCUUCAUGGUAACACAAUUUUCUGAAGUGUAACAAGAUUAAACCACCUGCCUAAUAUUGUGUAGGUCCCUUAUGUACAACCAGAACAGCUCUGACCCAUCAAAGCAUGGACUCCACGAUACAUCUAAAGGUGUCCUGUGGUAUCAAGACAUUAAUAGCAGUCAGCACUGUGAACCCUUUGAUGUGUUCCUCCACAACCGACAUUUUUAUUAUUUUUUUAAUGUACAUGGUCUUGAAUUACUGGAACUUACGGUUUAAGUUCAGGACACCAGCUAAACCCUCUGAAUAUAAAUGCUACCAUGAAGCAGAGACGUAACCGUCAUUCCAACCAGAACCUGCAGCUGCUCACCGUACUGACUCAUACAUGUUCAACCAGGUCAAACAAACUCAUCAGCAAAUUAAUGUCGUCUUUAUGCUUGAUACAUACAAAGAAUUAGGCUUCCACAUUAAAAAUGCUCCAAAGUCCAUCUCUAAGGCACUAAUGUUAGCAAUAAAAUGGCACACUCUAUGAAAAGAAAACCUUCACAAAGACCAGCUUUUGAUAUAUUUUUUGUUCUAAGGCAAAUCAUACAAAAUAAUAUUCAUAAAUACGUGACAUUUUUUACCGUAUUGUUGUGAAAAAAACUUAAAAAUAUCCCACAUUUACUUUUUAUGCUGAAUAUGCUUAAAUUGUUCAAUUUCAUUCUGAGUUUAUGAAUAAAGUACUGAGCCAGUGUUUUUCUAUAAUAUAAUCAGUACAAUGUCUUGCUUCAUAACAAUUAAACAUCAUGCAAAAAUUAAGUUAAGCAGUUCUUGCUGAAUGAAGGUCAAAUUUACAGCUGUUCUACUCAAAUUUGUGUUCAUGUUUGUGUAUUAAACAAAGAAUAUUCAAAGUAAUAUAAACCAGGACCCAAGAAUUCAAGCUACCAUUUCGAUCUACCAUUCUAGAGAUUCCCUAACCCAGUCAUCUACUCAUCACUUUUGGGCUCUUACAAAAGUUGCUCAGAUCUGUGCACUCCAUGUUUUUCCUGCCUCCAACACAUCAUCUUCAAGAACUGACUGUUCAAUUGCUGCUUCGUAUAUCUUAACCCUUGACAGAUGCCACUGUAACAAGAUAAUCAGUGUCAUUCACUCCAUCUCUGUGGUUUAAAUGUUGUGGCAGACUGGUAUAUACACCGUUUAUAGUAAAAGAUCUAACACCAUAUAGAACACAGUGCAACUGUUGUCUUUGCUGCCUCCUGCAGGAAUGUUUAAGCACAUCAGCUGUCCACUGAUCCACAGGGAGUUCGCUCCCCAGGGAGUUCGCUCCCCAUUUCAGGAUGUGAUGCCUUCAGAACCACCUAAUUCACAGAUGAUUUCAAACCAAUACCUCUCUGGUCUCCAUGAAUAAUUAAUUGUAACAGAUAAAGGUAUUUUGCAGUUAAACUUCUUCAACUGACAUCAAAACUAUGAAAAGCCUCUGACUAAAAAUGCUAAGGCAGUGCCGGUUGCUUAAAAAGAAAAAAAAAAACAAAACACACAGGAAUACAAUUUUGAUUAUUUAAAAAAAUGUAUUUGUAUGUACUUACAUACUGGUGUCAAAAGAGUAUGCACCAAAAAUGUCACAUUGACUCACAAUUACAAAGAAAAAGUGUUUUCUUUUUCUUCAAUUACAAGUAUUGAAAAAACUAUGUACAGAAAAAAGGGCAUGGUGACAAGAUAGUACACUAGAAACAAACUUACAGUCACACAAUGUUUUAUAUGAGGCUUCUGCAAAUAAAGAAAAAAAUCUUCUAAACAGUUACACUGUCUUGGUGCUCUGAACUUCAAAUUGUAUUUCCACUCAGAAGGAUAUCCUCUCCACAGUCCAGCAUCAAGGCGUUUUCAAAGUGUGCUCACAAAAAGGAUUUGUUUAAAAAACCCAGAGGACUGAUUCAUCAAAAAUGAAAAAAAUAAACAAACCGUUGAGUGGAAAUACUUUUUUACUUAAAACACAUGGCCUAGAGAUAAUCUUAAAAAGGUGUUAAAGAGGGAACAGAUGGGGACAGUAACUGGGCUGGAGGAAGCUUGCAGUCCUGGAGACGAGCUAUGUAGCGGACCACUUCUCUAUGGAUGGAAAUAAAAGGCUUGUCUGUGGGUCCCUGCUAUCAUAUGUUAAAGAUGGAAAGUACACUCGCUCCAAAAACCUUGGAACCCCACCCCCUCUUCUGAAAAUGUAAAGAUUUUAAUCGAGACAAGACACAAACCAGGAAUGACAAAGGCAGGAUGAUGGCGAUGUGGGCUGUUUUGUGAUCAGCAAGACUGAAAAAAUAUCCUUUUGAAGGGGUGCUAAUAGCUAAAAAUAUAUAAAUGGAAAACUAGAGCAACUGGACUUGUACCCCAAAUCCAUCAGUUCCUCUCCUUCUAUAAGUGGAAUCAAAGCGAUUCACACAAACUGCCCCUGAACAAACUCAGGUUGAGAGAUUGACAUCAGAGAGGAGCCUGAAACAGAACACUAACACAUUCAGUGCAACACUAGACUAGCACAUUCAUUCCCACUGCAUCAUGAAGCUUCAAUUUAGGGUUCGCUGGACAAUAAUGUCCUCUAUUAGUUCUUUUACAGUUACCUUUAGGCAGAGACAAUCUGCAGCCAAUUUGAAUCUUUUCUCUGGGUUCAGUUAAUCUGAGAAGAAUGUGAAACAGCACCUAAAAGGAAUCCAUGGCUUUCAUGGCACUUUGUUGGUACAACACUCCAAGUAUUGUGCAGUUCAUCUUAAUAGUAUUGUGCAUGUUUCAUAUCGUAAAGCCAAAAUAGAAACUCGUGUCACGGUUUAAAAUGACACGGCAAUCAGACAUGAGACUCCACGAACUGUCCUCAAACUUUCUAAAAACAAACUGAAGCCGUCACAUGGGAAGUGAUUUUAACGAUGAGAGUGCAGUGUAUGUCUGCAGGGAAGAUGAGGCACCUCGCAAAUGUUUAGGGAAAAAAAAGGACACCAAUCUCUGUAGACUGGUUCCUCCUGCAGCAUCCUACUAGUUACAAAUAUAUGGAAACUGCUGUGCUAUUACCAUGCCAGUGACUGGUGCCUCUUCUGAAUUUAAGAACUAAAAGUGUGUCCAGUUUCUUUCCGGCUGGACCAAUAAAAGAAAACUGCAGGGUGUGUUAAAGUGAAACUCCACCCAGAACAGAGCACAAAAACUAUAGUGAUGACCUUAGCUGAUCUUUAAGCGUAUGUAUAUAUAGCCUUUGUAAUGUCUGUUUGGGGGUGAAAUGAUGUCUGCGAGGUAAGGAUUUAACUUUGAACAGAAUGUGUCUCUGGUGUAUCUGGGGUAGCCUUGGACCAGCUGCUCCCUCUGGGAUAUUUUCUCUCUUCCUUUAGUCACUUUUUGCCUUUUUGCUGUCAUUUCCAUUCUCCUCCAACUCCGUCUCUUCUGCCCCCUCCUGGUGCUUCCUCUUCUUUGUGUCGUCUGACUGAGUGGGGGACGGGUGUGGCCGAAAGGUGAUGAUGAUGCAGGUCAUGUUGUCGCAUCCUGUCCCGUCUCCAGAUGUGUCGGGGGCCAAGCAGUGGUCCAGCAGCUGUUAGAAAGAUACAAGGUGUGUGAAAUUAAAGGUGUAAAUCCUGGGCAUUGUGAGGCAGAUGGCACGAGGACAGAGGAAUUAAAAAUGACAUGUUAAUUUUUUGCUCUCACCUCUUCCACUAUGGAUGAAAGAGGUCUGGUUUUGCCAUUCUGGUCUUGUUUCAUCCUUUCACUGAUGAAGUCCACCACCUCCUGACUGCUUAACACAUUCCUGUAAACAGAAAUAUGGAAACAGAUUAAUGAAGAACCUAAUGAGUAUUAAUAAGGAAAUUUAGCUUGUGAAAAUAUGGCUACACCAUAGCUACAAAAUAAAAUGUUCCGCUUCUUGACAGAAAAGCUUGUUAGCUUAGAAAAUUGUGUUUCUGGACAUAAAACAGUUGUCAUUUGUAAAGAAAAAAACAUGAAGAAACCUACAAAUGAAUAGUUAGUUACUGGAACAAACCGCCACCGACUGCUCAAACUCACCAGAUACCAUCGCAGGCAAUGACCAUGAAGUCGUGGUCCUCGUUCAGAGUCAGAACUUUGACAUCAGGCAUUGCAGAAAUCAUCUGCUCCUCUGGAGGCAGAGUCUUGUUCCUCUUAUAGAAGUGGUCACCUGAGAAUCAGAGUUCAGAUUUAAAGCAGUGUCGUCGCAGAGGAGGAGGAACAUUGUAUAUUGAUUAUUUGAAUCCAGUGUUAAUUUUAGAAUUACACAUCCUAAAGCAAACAACAGGAUGCCUUACAAGAGUUCUGAAGUUUAAUACUAAAGUCAUUCCUACCAAUAGCUCUGGAGAGGUUCAGUCCACCAUUGACCCGUCCGUCCAUAGUCACUUUCCCACCAGCAUUUUUAAUGCGAGCGAGUUCCACCUCGUCCUCCGGCUUGUGGUCGUACGACAUGUCGACGGCUUUGCCUACAGUGACGCAGGAACAGAGCUCUUACAUUUCAUUCAACAUUACUGCCAAGCAUUUUGUUAAAACUUUUGGCACUUCGCAUCUCAGUGGAAACCAAAUAAGACUCAAUUUCACUACGGUGCUAAAUAGACAAAUAAUAGAAAAAGUGUUGAAAAGCAUCUGAAAGGGACUGCAAUGAGAAUUUAAAUGACAUUAAUUAAAAUAAACUCUGACCUCCUGUUGUUGUAGGUAUUACCACCACCAUUUUAUCUUCAUUUCAACAAAAUUAUGUGCAAACCUCAAGACAGGAUAAAACUAGUCAAAUCUAACUGUAAAACAAAAUUAAAUAGAAUAAAGUACUAAAACAAGCAAAACAACUUCUAAGAUCAAUUUCAAAAAAAUAAAUAUGAAAUAUUAAGACCAUUAAGAGCAGAAAAACAUCUAAAUCUUUUUGUGCAACAAUUCAACAUGUCAAAAAGGUAAAAUUGCACAAAGUGCUUUGGACCUACCGCGUUCAGACACCACACAGCGAGAGUCUCCAGCGUUGGCCACGAUCAGCUGCUUCCCUCUGAUCAGAGCCACGACGGCUGUGGUGCCGCUGUCUGAGCCAGGCUGUGAGGCCACAAACACAGGAGAUGUGACACACCAUUAAAACUCCAUGAUGGCUUACACUGACAGAUCUUCACAUGAUACAAACCACCCAUGCAAACGCAUUCCAACAAUUUAUUUUAUGACCAAAAGUCAGUCACUGAAAACAGCUUUGCAGCUUUCAGCAGAGAGAAGACUGGAAGGCAGCCACAAAAGCUUCUUCCAUUUAAUCAAAGUCGUCUCAAGUCAUCGAAUUUGGCUUCUGUGGCCAAUUUAAAGCAGUUGUUUGUUGGGUUCAUUACUUGAAAUUACUGUUACGCUCUUUAAAUGGCUAAAAAAAAAAACAAAAAAACAUCAACUUAAGCUAACUUGGCUGGUUCUCAAAAGUAACGAGGAGGAAAAUUUUAGUAAAGUUUUAAGCACACCAGGAAAAUGGCUUCAACAAUGUUACAAGUAGGCCUGGACGACUUUACAAAGUCUUCAACUUCUCAUUGUCGAUACUGCUGCCUAGUAACUUAGUCCCUGGAUACACCUCCCAAUAGAUGCAAAGCACAUUGAUAGACUUUGACUGAAUAUGGCUUCCUGUAAUACCAUCAUUGCUCUAUAUGUCACUGCCACUUUAUUGUGUACAGAUAAUAUUUUACACAUUAAGUAUUUCUGGUUGUGCACAUGCUUUUAAUGCACAGUUAAACUUUUCUCACCUGCAGCGUAAUGGCCUGUUCAGAAGGCAAACGUCCUUAGAGACAAAAUAAAUGCCGUUCCGACUUUUCUCACAGUUCUAACAUUCUGAAAGUCUUCAAACUGAAGGCGUCACGAGAAACUGACUUUAAGUUUUUUGACAAGCUGCAAAAACUUAACAUGGAGAGUUCAGCUACAAGCAUGUCUACCACUACCACCAGCGAUGACCAUCUCUUAGGAAAACAAACUGCCGCCUCAUUUAGAUUCCCCAGUGUCACACCAUGUGACACAAUUUGAGAUUCAAUGUUGUUUCCAAAGAGGAUGAAUCCAUGAUUUUGAUGUUCUGUGGUUGUACGGUGCUCAUGUUCAAUUGGAACAAUCUUACCGGAUGCACUAGUUUUGAAUUUCCUUGUAAUUAUGCAUGAUGCAAGCACUGGAAACUGGCUUUAGUCAGUAUUUUGUCACAAUAUGCUCAAAAUUGAACACCCAUCAUUGGUAUGACGAGUUUUCAACCCCUACUGAAUCACAUUAAAGCAAUUUUGGAAGCCAAAAGAGUCAAGACUAUGAUAAAAAAUUAUCAUUUUGAGCUCCACUCUAAAGACACAAUAAGUUUUAACUUAAUAUCUGAAAAGAUCAUGAUGAAGUCAUGACAGAUCAUAUUCCUAAAAUCAAGUAUAUGUUUCACCUGCACUGUGUAUAGGGAUUUUUAGCAGCUCAACUGUUCAUUUCAGUCGCCCUCUUCGUACACACCUCCUCUUUGCCAUCCAUUCCUGGCAGACACAUUUCCUCCUCCUCCUCUUCAUCCUCAGAGUCUUCCUCUCCCUCCUCUGUAUCCUCCUCUUCUUCCAACUCACUGCUGUCACCCUCUUCCUCUUCACUGCCAUCCUGACAGAAAAAAGACAAAGCAAUUAUCACAAUACUUACAAAGUUAUUCAGAGGGAACUUUCACAGCCCAACACAAUGGUCUAUUCUGGUCUCCUGCUCUCACCUCUUCAUCGCUGCCCUCCUCCUCCUCCUCGCCCUCCUCAGACUCCUCACUGUCAUCAAAAAACCUCGACUUGGAAUCUCCUGGGGCUUUCGAGGAUGAGGAACAGGAAGGACCUGCAUCUCCUUCUGCCUUUCCAGCCUUUUCCUCCCCGUUGGAGCUUCCUGACCCUCCACAGCCUCCUGCUGUCGAGAAGAAACGAGCACGUGAGAUGGUGGACGAAGUGGAGUAAAGAGCGAAUAUAUGUGCAAAGCAGAACAGAUAAGAAGAUGCUGAAUCAAGUGCUUGGCUACACAUUUUUCACAUACUUGUGAACAGCAGCUGCUCAGUGUUUGUAGAGUUUUUGUUAAUGAACCAGUAGUUAGUAUUAAGAUACAAAUACAUUUUGAAGCAUUUCUGAAAGGCACUUAGUCUUCAUAUAUCAACUUUGUCUGUCUUCCCUUAGAAUAUGUCAACUUUCAAAUGAAACUGAAUCUUAUCUCCUGACCUGCACCACUGCCUUCGCCUCCUCCUGCUCUCCGACAGGCUCGCAGCUUAGACCCGCAUGAUGCUCCUUCGCCUUCCUUCACCUUCCCAUUGCUCUCCUCCUCCACCUCCCCGUUCAGCCCCUCUUUCUUCGAUCCGUCUCCACCUUCCUUUUUGUCUGCCAAAGCCUCGGGAUGCGAGCAAGACGCCUUCUUAGCAGCGGCACUAGAACCAAACACAGAGAUAAUACAAAUGAAACUGGAGACCAUGUUGCAAUGUAAUACAAGUAAUCACUAAAUUAUGACAUUAACACUUUUAAUAUUUGUCAAAGAUUAAUUAAUUAGCUGCAAAUUAUUAAAAUAAUAGCCAACUAUUUUAACAUUAUGAAUAUUGUCUGGUGCCUUGAGUCCUCUAUGACAGUUAACUGAAGCUCUUUAGGUUGUGAACAAAACAAGACCUUUGACAAUGUCAUCUUGGGCUUUGGCAAACACUAAAGAACUUUUUGUUUUUAUCAUUUUCUGACAUUACAUAGACAAAAGAGCUAAUUGCUUAUUCGGGGGGUAAAUGGACAAUGAAAACGAACUUUUCCUGCAGCCCUAAACAUUUGUGAUACCUAUAUUUGCUGACUUGCAUGAUAUCACCACUGAUGAUGCACCAUAAAGUAAGACUUUCAGGAAGUUCAAAUCUCCGUCUCCCAGCAUCUUCACUAUCACAGUCGUGACGCUCCUUAUAUGAGGAGUCAUAAUAGUGAGUUUGUUGGAUUACCUCAGGGCAGCAGCAUGUUUAACGGCAUUGCGGUUCUGGCCGUAGCGAACCAGCAGCUCCUCUAUGGUCAUGGUGGCCUCCUCGUGGAGCAAAGCUGCCUCCUCCGUGUCCACUGAAAGGAGGGCAGAAACAUACAAUCACUCAGAUGUUAUCAGAACUUUUACGAUUCGACAUGAAAGUUUUAAUCUACCAGAAGUGUAUACAGUACUUUCAGUAUUACUAGUGGACACGAUAACCUUGUUCCUGGUUUUCUAUGCUGGAUCCCAAUACUCUAAUCCUACGUUGACACUUAACAUGAAAGAGCUUUUUCACAGGUCCAUAGCAAACAGUGCUCAGUGAAUAUCAGAGGUGUACUCACAGUCAUCCUCCUCUGAAACCUUUUCAGCAGGUGGCUCCUCAGUGGGUCGUCCAGCGAUCUGGACCAGCUCCUUAAUAACUUCUUCUGUGGUCAUUCUGCUGUCGAUGGCCAAGAAGGCAUCCUCCAGUGCCUGGAAACAACAUGGAACAAAUCAGUACAGUAAAGCAGAGGGAGGGAAGUAAACACACAGAUUCCAAUCCUGCCAAAUUACUAACUAUACCAAAGUCAAGCAGCCUACAUCUGGUCAUGGAGCUCUCUUCUCACACAAACUCGUUUCAGAUAAAUAGGUCAGUCCUCAACUACUGUGGCCUCUCACCUUUUGAAGUUUGCCGUCUUUGUAAGUUUUCUGUUCCUUGAUGAUGUCAGGAAGGUACUUUGAACAGUACAGAGCCACCUCUUCACCUAAAUGGGCACAGUGAGUUAUAUAAAUUCUUAUGAUAGGUGUGUGUAAACAAAGCAGUUAUGGUAUAUGGGUGUGUAAAACAAACAACAAAAUGAGGAAAACCAUAAAAACAUAGUUGGGUGUGUUAUGAUACAAAAUUCAGAAAGAGAAGAACAUUUGUGCCUCUGAAAUAUGGCUUCAAUGAAACAAAUGCUGCAGUGCAGUACACUAGAGUCUACAAAAUAAUAUCCAUAGAAGACGGCAGUCUGUUACCUCCAUGUCCAUCAUACACAGAAAACAUGGCUGUCUCCUCAUCAAACUCGGGGAUACAAUUAUGAGCAUCCUGGAACACAGACAAAUCACAGCAAAAUUAAAACCCCUGUUCAUGUAACAAAGCAACUUGUAAGCUUAGAGCAGACCUGUUAGAAAUGACAAAAAAUAGAGACCCUGCACAUUAUCUUCACUCCCUGCCAAACCUGUUGGCAGCUUUGAAAGGCUUAUCUUUAAAAACGAGCCCAAACUACUUAUUUUAUCAGACCAAGAACCUGUUAAAAAAAAAAAAAAAAAAACUAUAUCACUUUUUAACUUUCUGAGAGAUGUUGAACUAGUCAUCUGAGGUGUGUUCUAACUGGAAAAUUUACCAAAGUUUAAAACGGUGAUAUUUUACCAAAAAUCAUAUUUAAAAUUUUGUCUGCACAAAACAGAUUCUGUAAAAAAAAACAAAAAAAACAAAAAAAAAAAAGAUCUGUACUUUCCAGUGCAAAUGUGACACCAUUUGUGACUGCUAUGGGGACAGCUCUGCAGCGUUUACACAGGACAGAUAUGAGAAAAGUAUGGAGAUGAAUUUAAAAAUUAAGUAGUAAAAUAUGUACAGUGUGUAGAGAUACUAUUUUCCCAACACUGGCAACAGUUGGGGGUACUUGGAAAAAUGCUUUACACAUUGACUUCAGCUUUUUCAAUUCCUGCAAAAUAAACAAUUAAAGAAACAGCCUUUUUUGAGUACUCCCUACUUCUGUUAACAGUUGUGCUAUUUCCACAUAGGCAGUGGACUAUAUAUUAAAGUGAAAAAUGAGCCCACAGUGAGCAAACGGGACAGGAGCAAUAAACACCUAGAAACCACUUGGAGUUCAGAGGGUUAAAUACAUAUAAAUGGCAAAUGAUGUUGGCAGGUUAACAAAGUUUCUGUACUCUGACAACAUGUUCAUUAAUGUCUUUUGACUAAAUUACUCACCUGCAUUUAUUAGUCACCGUUAUUAUGCUGAGAGUUGAUGUAUUAAAGCUAACUGGCUACAUAAUUGGGGAAUGUGUCUAAUUGUGUCAUCACUUAAAAUGAGACACAAACAUCAGAUCUGUUAGUAAUAUCCUGUCAGCUGCGGUGAAAUUCUUUCUUCACAAGACUGCAGCAGACAUCAAUUACAUGCUGUGGGAGAGUGCUAACAAUGUAACUCGGCAUGCUAAAAAAAAAAACAUCCUGAAGACGAAUUCUCAUUGUCACCAAUCACUGCAGCUGGUGCUGUGGAAGAGUCGGGUUAGCAGAGACUCACUGGAUCUCUAGGAGACACCAACAAACCCCCACACAAACACACAUACAAAGAGAUCCCGCCAUUUAAAACUCCAUACACAUGUGUUCAGGAAGCAGAGCGGCAAUAUGAUUGUUUCAGAUCCAGCCAUUCAUUUUGUGCCUCACCUCCAUGGAGACCCGCCAGCCCUGCAUGGCAGAGAAGCCGUAGCUCAUGCUGCUGUUGCCGCCAUCGGAAGAGGUCUUGGUGGUGUUAGGCUGCGACAGAUAUGCCCCCAUGGUUGUUGGAUUCUAUGUCUUUACACCUGGAGAGGAGACGGCGCGGGGGGAAAACAUCACAUUUUAGCUCCACACAAAAGGACACACGUGUAAAACUCAGCAUUCGUUAAAUUCCAGCUGCUUAACCAGCUUCGCUAGUUACGGUUGCUAGCUAGCUAACGUUAGCAACGCCACAACAAAAAGUAGACGCAUCGGCUAGCUAACAUGACCGAGCUAACAGCAGCGAACCCGGCUAAACUUCCAGCAGUAACCUCUGCCCCCGCCAUGCGAGCGGCUGCGCAGUUGGAGAAACAUCAAACGCUGGGCGCCGACGGCUACUUUACCUAUUCUGACAGAGCAGGACGAGCUGAUAACCGGGUCCGAAAGACGGAGAUUCACAUAGGAAUGAUUACACGUGUGGAAGCAAAAGCCGCUAUCAACACAGACGGACUGAAAAGAAGCAGCAGCCGUGGAGGAAGUGAGCAGUCGCGCAUGUCCGUUUCCUUCCAACAAAGGGGCGUGUCCGACGUGUACGUCUUACGUCACUUUUUAAAAUCUGUGAACAGACGUUGUAACGUACGGCCAUAGACCGUAUGCAGCAGGGGUGUCAAACUCAUUCUAGUUCAGGGGCCACAUUCGGCCCAGUUUCAUCUCAAGUGGGCCGGACCAAUAAAAUCACAGCAUAAUAAUCGGAAAAUAACGACAACUCCAAUUAUUUUCCUUUGUUUUAGUGCAAAAAAGUACAUUCUAAAAAUGUUCACAUUUCAGGAAUUAAAAAACAGGACACAAAAUGUCAAAAGCGAGAAACAAAAUGACAAAAAAUGAGACAAACAUUAAACUAAACAAAGACAAAAAAUUUGACUAAGAAGUUAAAAAUCAACAAAAAUUUUGUCAAAUUACACCAACCAGACAAAAAAUGACAAAAGCGAGAAACAAAACGAUAAAAAAUAUAAAAACACAAGCGAGACAAAAAAAACUCCAAAAUGACAAAAAUAAGACCAAAAAAAAAAUACAAGCGAGACAAAAAGGGAACAAAACAACAAAAAUGACAAACAAAAUGACAAACAUGAGACAAAUGACAUGGAACAAAACAAAAAAUGGCAAAAAAUAGACAAAAAAGUUACAAACAACAAAAAAAUAGAUAAACAACACAAGGGAGACAAAAAAACACAAAACAAAAAUGAUACACAAAACAACGAAUAAAGCAAAACAGAAAAAUGACUAAAAUAAUACAAGAAACACAAGCAAAACUAAAAGGAAACACAAAAUGACAAAAAAAAUGAGACAAAAAGGCAAAAAACGACAAAAUAUUACAAAAAUGAGACACAAAACAACAAAAGAACAAUGAGCAAUCUAGUAUUUUACUUUAUGAUCAAAACAACUUGUCAUGGUGUAGAAAUUAUUUUAAAUUUAUAGUUUUACAAAUGUAAAAUUUGCAAUUAAUGUCUUCUCUGUAAUUUUUACACUUUACAAAGUCGUCCCACGGGCCGGACUGGACCCUCUGGAGGGCCGGUUUUCGCCCGCGGGCCACAUGUUUGACAUCCCUGGUAUACAGUCUAUGCGUACGGCGUGUACUGAAGAUAAACCCAGCAGUAACAGCAAUCUGCAAAGUAAAUACACAAUAUUAAAACAAGAUAAAAAGGAAUACAUAAAAAACAAUAAAGACAGAAGCAUUAUAUUAUUUAAUCUAAAAAUAUAUGGUAAAGACUACAAAGAUGCUUAAAUUCAAGGAUAUGGCACAUUUUUUAAAGCAACUAUUGUGCUCUUUAUUAUUAAAAAAAUGGAAUGCACCAAAUAAGUUUAAUAUUGAGAGUGAUAUGCUGUAGUAGUUUAAUUUAUGGUGUGAAUUUAGGUGAGUCAGAAAUAUUAGGGAAUAAAACCAACAAAAAUUCAAUAAAAUUCAACUUUACACACACACACACACACACACACACCCACACGCACACGCACACGCACACGCACACGCACACGCACACACACACACACACACACACACACAAGCUACCUCUUGAAACUGUAAGAAGACUUUAUAUGGCUGAUAUCUAAAUUUUAAUCUAAAUGUAUGUAAUAUUUGGCAAACAUUUCAAGAGUUAUUCAGUUUUUUUCAGUUAGCAGUCUUUAAAAAUAUUUGAAUUCAAAGCGUAUGCUAUUUUUACGUUUUUGAUUAUUAUAUUUAGGGUCCUCGCACCACGAAGUGGUGCGAGGAACCUAUUGAAACCCUAGGAAUUAUUAGGGUCCGAGCACCGAAUGGUGCGAAGACCCUAUUGGAAUGCAAGGAAUUAUUUAUUAUUAUUCAUUCUUUUACCGUCUUUUGAAUUGCAUUUUUGGCGGCCUUAUCAUACCCCAAAACGUGUGAGACUUGGCAUGCUCAUCAGGACUGGCGAAAAAUUUGAUAUUUUAUGGGAGGUGCGCAUGUGUGUGGAAAAAUGGCUCUAUAGCGCCCCCUGCAAAAUUCAAAAUUUGGUCAUUAGGCCAACUGGCAGGGUGUUUCAUCUACAGCUACAAAAUUUUGCAUGCAUAUUCAGCCCAUCAGGACACACGAAAAAGUCAAUAAUGGCUAUGCCCUAAACCCAACAGGAAGUCGGCCAUCUUGAAUUAACUGUGAUAUUUUUUCUGACUAAUAACUCAUCGGGGGUAAGUCCGGGAGACGUCAAAUUUGGCAAAUAUAUGCAACAGUCAUCCCUGAUGAAAAGUUAUCAAAAUGCUCUGCAAAAGUCAAAGGGCGUGGCCAUGGCGACUCGCGAUAAUACUGAUCCUUUGCCAUGAAACAGGAAGUAUUGUCUAACUCUGCUGUACAUGUUCCAAUCUGCCUGAAAUUUUACAUGUGUGAUCAGGGUCCAGCCCUGAUGACAUCCAUGUGGUUAUGUACAUUAACAGUCAUAGCGCCACCUUGUGGUAGCAGGAAAUAGACAUUUUUUUACAUUUUGAUGUACUAUUCUUAGCAGGUUGAUCAUAUUCACUUCAAAUUUGGUGACAUAAGCCUGAACACAUUGAUGAUGAUUCCCAGAGAAAAUGGUGACACAUCAUGAAAGGGCGUGUCUGUGGCAGCGUGGCAAAAUUCGAUUUCUCGCCAUGAAAAUUGAAUUAUUUAUAUCUCAGCUGGAAAUGAUCCAAUCCGGACCAAACUUGAUGUGAUGGACACCAGUCAGGUUCUGAACACAUCCACAUUCAUAAAUUUAGAAAAUCUCAUAGCGCCACCUAUUGGCAACAGGAAGAAAUUGUCAUUACAUUUGCACGUGCCAUUGCCUGAAACUUUGUCAUAUCAUUCUGAAAAUUGGUCAGGUGAGUGGUGACACCUUGACGAUGCCACAGUGUGAAGAUUUUGAUGAUUCAUAAAACGCUGUUGCCGUGGCAACGUAUCGUUGCCGUAAUAAACAAAGUACUUUUUGACAGGUUAAAAAUGCUCAAAUGCUCGCCAAAAUUGCCACACAUAUCUGGACCGGCAACCCAUGUGAUAUUUUAGGGAAACUGCACAUGUGUGUGGCAAAAUGGCUCCAUAGCGCCACCUGGAAAAUUUCAAACAGUUACUAUGGCCAGUACGUGUCACCUAGAAUUAUGAAACUUGGUAGGCAUAUGUAACUCGUCAAGACACACAAAAAUGUAAUUGACACUCAUGCCCAAAACCCAACAGGAAGUCGGCCAUUUUGAAUUAUGUCAUAUGUUUUGACGAUUUGGGGUCAUUUUUGUACAUUUUCAAAAGCUAUAAACUCAAAUAGGGUAACACCGAGAGAGCUGAAAUUCGGCCAGGAUGUAUUCCAGUCAUGGGUGAUCAAAAGUUAUCAAAACGCUCCGCAAAAGUCUGAGGGCGUGGCCAUAGUGACCAGCGGAAUGUGCCCAUUUUGAAUGUCUCGCCAUGAAACAGGAAGUGCUGUGUAAGUAGCCUGUACAUGCUCCAAUCUGCCUGAAACUUUACUCUCUCAGUUGCAGCGCCUCCUGGUGGAUAUGCGUGGGCCAGUCGGGCCGCUCGGAUGCGAGGACUUGUCCAACGCUGCUUGCAGCUUUUAUUGGUUUAGUGGUUGGAAGUCAAUAAAACAUUAGCGUCAGUCAAAUUGAAUGCGUCAGUGGAUGGAAGUGGUGGUUGCCUUGUGCUGCUCUUCACUUCACUGCAGCUCCAUGGCUCCAUCUGCUGGACGGACAGAAGUGCAGCAGCUGAUGGCAGCUUCUUUGACCUCACGCUGCUGUCAGACCCCAGAUUAGGGUUUAUUUCAGAUAUAUAUAAUAGAAAAUAGUAAUUAAAAAAUAAGCUGAUGUUGUAUUUUUGCAGCAGUGAGUUUUACAGGGUUAAGAGCAACCAGUCAAAGGUUAUUACUGAGGAUUUUAAACAAAAACAUUCAGGCAAACAGUUAACAUCAUAGGGUGCCUGACAUGUUUGUUUUUUUUCCGGUUCGAUACAGAUUUUUUUUGUAAUCAAGGAGAUCAAUAACCAAGAUUUGGAAUCACUACACAUUUGCAGAAAAAAUAAAGUUUUUGAACAGCACAUAAAGUUAAGUUAAAAUUAAAAUAAUCACGAGUUGCAGCCUUUGCUUAUUUAUGUUUUACAUGUUGAAGUUGUCCUUCAGUGUUUCACUGAUCAGAUUGUGCUGUGGGCAGGAACAAGAUCAGAGGGAGGCAGCUGCAGCAGACCCAAAGUAGUUUCACAUUCAUUUAUCUGAUCAGAUUUCAGGGGGCUUUUUUUUUUUUUUUUUUUUUUUUUUUUUUUUUAAGAAAUGGGACCAAUAAUUGAAAACAUGCUAAAUAUCAGAUGGGAUCAUUGGUGUCACAGGACAUCUGCAGACACAGGUCAAAGAUUACAAGGAGUUUAUUUAACGAAUGAAACUAAAACCAACACAGAAAGGAUAACUAAACCAAGGUGAAAACAAAAAGGGGAAACCAGACUAAUUGUAGGAGAAAGGUUCUGGUUUCAAAGUCUCUGGUCUGGCAGAGAGCGGAAGAAUGAAGAACCGGGCCUUCGUGGAUUAAGGUGAUUGAGAACAGGUGAAUCAACCCCCACAUCUGUGAGAGAGAUGGAUGGAUGGAUGGAUGGAUGGAUGGAUGGAUAGAUAGGUAGGGAGGUAGAUGGACCAUAGAUAGAUGGAUGGAUAGGUAGAUUCUGCAGUGGGGAAAUUUUCAGUGUGGCAGUAGCAGAUAGGAAAAAAAGUAAAAAGAAAAGCAGCACUCAGUGCACAGAUAUAAAUAGAUGCUUUCUCCUUAGAGAAGAAAUAGAAAUGCUUGUAAAAAAAAAAAUCUUGUGAAAUUGCACAUAUUGACUUAUUUACAUUUUAUUGCAGUUACUUCAUGGGUGAUCUGAACUACUGGGAGCAGGUUUGAUUGAACACAGUCUGACUGCUGCAGGAAGGAAGGACCUCCUUCAAACAUUGUGGGUGAAGCAGUCUGUCCCUGAAGGAGCUGCUGGUGAUGGUCCUGUUUCCUGCAGGGGGUGGGAGAUGUCCUCCAUGACAGACAACAGCUUUGUCAUCAUCUUCCUGUCUAACACCAGCCCAGGACAGAGCUUGCUUUCUUAACUGGUUUCUUUAGUCUCUUCCUGUCUGCAGCCGUGAUGCUGCUGCUCCAGCAGACCACUCCAUACAGGAUGGCUGAUACCACCACACAACCAUAAAAGGUCCUCAGAAUUGCUCCCUGCACCCCGAAGGACCUCAGUUUCCUGAGCAGUCAGAGUGUAAAGAAUUGAAGCUGUCAGAGGCUUUCUGUGGUGAAGAGGCUGCAGGACAUCAGCUGCUCCAACAGGUGACGCCUUUGUUCUUUGGCUCCAACCAGAACCAGCAAUAAAUCAGCAUGAGCUGCAGCUUAUCCACCUCAUAGAGCGUAUAAUAAAGAAACCAAGAGGUUUUAGUUGAUAGCUGUCUCUAGUGAAUGACCAGCAGUGUGUUGUUCAGGUUGUGAGGAGAAGUAAAAAGCUUACAGCAGCUGGUAUUCCCAGGUAGUCUCCCAUCCAAAUACUAACCAGGCCCAACCCUGCUUAGCUUUGCAGAUCAGAUGAGAUUGGGUGUAUUCAGUCUCAGAAACAAACCUGCAAUGUAAGUUCUGUACCUCACAUGAUUCAAAUCUCCACUCACACCUUUUAUUUGUCCUUUGAUUGCUCCAGUACUGAUUGAUGCCAUCAUUUAAGCCAAUUUACAACAACACCUUGUAGGAAAUGUGGUGCAGAGGUAAGUUCUGUGCCUCACAUCUUGAAGGUCUCCGGUUGAAAUCCACCUUAGUACCUUUAUUAUCUUCACCUCCUUAAUAGUUUUGUGUACCAUCAUUUAGGAAAACUAACAGUUACACCCAGUAGGAAGGAUAGCGCAGUGGUAAGUUAUCUGCCUCUCAUCCGGGAGGUUUUUGGUUCGAAUCCAGCCCAGGGCUCUUUUGACACUUUAUAAGAUAAGAUAAAGAUAAGAUAAAGUUCUUUAUUUCUCCCCACUCCAGGGGAAAUUUACAUUGUUACAGCAGCUUUAUUUACAAUAUAUACAUACUUUGGCUGUAUGACAACCUCUUUCAACCAUCAUUACAACAAAGUCCACGAAGGACCUUGUGUGAAAGAUAGCUCACACAUAGGUUGUGUGUCUGUCAUGUGGAGGGUCACGGUUCGAAUCCCCACUGGGAACCUUGCGGAGGAUAAUAGCGGAGUGGAAAGGUUGUGGUCUGUGGUGUGGAGUGUCAGUGGAUUGGAGUUGAAGGGUGGUUCCAGCAAAACCAAGAAGUUGCCCGAAAAAGGUAAAGAGCGUAAAGAGCGUAAAGAGCGUAAAGAGCGUAAAGAGCGUAAAGAGCGUAAAGAGCGUAAAGAGCGUAAAGAGCGUAAAGAGCGUAAAGAGCGUAAAGAGCGUAAAGAGCGUAAAGAGCGUAAAGAGCGUAAAGAGCGUAAAGAGCGUAAAGAGCGUAAA